GUGAAAGACCAAACAAGCGGCUACCAGAAUUCAGAUUUAUUCUUCUAGUGCAAAAGGUACGGGCAUAAAUGAUGCACAGACUAACCAGGUCCGACCGAAGCUAUACAACAGAGUCAGUCGAAUUAUGGACAAUAUUUUCCCAAAGGCGUUCCACAAGAAUGAAGAACAACAGUACCUGAACUUUAAAUCACUGCUCCAAGCUAUUGUUGGCCCUUUGACUCAUUUGUGUCUUAAGCAGAAAUUAACAUAUGAAAUGUAUAAUAUGUAUGUAAACCUCUACAUACUGCAUCUGUA